ACGGAAGGCAGCAGUGGGGGAUAUUGCACAAUGGGGGAAACCCUGAUGCAGCAACGCCGCGUGUGGGAAGAAGGUUUUCGGAUUGUAAACCACUGUUCUUGGUGAAGAUAAUGACGGUAACCAAGGAGAAAGCUCCGGCUAACUACGUGCCAGCAGCCGCGGUAAUACGUAGGGAGCAAGCGUUGUCCGGAUUUACUGGGUGUAAAGGGUGCGUAGGCGGCUAGGCAAGUCAGACGUGAAAACCAUGGGCUCAACCUGUGGACUGCGUUUGAAACUGUUUAGCUUGAGUGAAGUAGAGGUAGGCGGAAUUCCCGGUGUAGCGGUGAAAUGCGUAGAGAUCGGGAGGAACACCAGUGGCGAAGGCGGCCUACUGGGCUUUAACUGACGCUGAGGCACGAAAGCAUGGGUAGCAAACAGGAUUAGAUACCCUGGUA
rnacentral:rRNA from 1 species